AAGGGCUAAGAGGGUUUCCUGGAAACCUUGACAGCCUUGAAUUGGGAGCAGCUGUUGGCGACCAGCAGAGCCCUGGUAAGCAAUAAAGCCUUCUUCCUGUUUAAUGAUUACCCUUCGAAAUCUCACGGCCGACUGAGAGCACUUGUGACCGGGAGCUUAGCUAGGUAUCAGCUUCACCCUUCUGGGAAGGCCGCACCCAGAUAAAUUCCUCGCUCCUCGCCUUCUCCUGCUGAGACCGACGUGGCGUUAGGGCCCACGCUGGGUCCUGUCUCCGUUUCCAAGAGGACAGCCCCGGCACCACCCUGAGCACACAAGGCAGGGCAGGAGAUUGCCACCGGUGCAGGGCGAGCCCCUGCCUGGGAGAUGCCUCCGGGGAUGAGGCAGCAGCCUCCAGGCUGGUCUGGCUGCUGGAGGAGGCAGCGUCGUGCUGAUCAUCUGCUCCUUUUGGGAUCAGCGAGGACGGCCGGGAUCAAGGGAGAUGCACCGUGCAGGCAGCUCAUGUUUAUAUAUAACACACCAUAUAUUAUAUAUAACAUAAUAUAACCCCAAUCCUCCUCGCCUCCACCCUUCCCUCCCCUUCUCCCUUCUUUCUGGGCAGCUCCUUGCAGAAAAACCACGGCUGCUGGUCCUGCACCAUCACCCCCCCUCUCCGCCAGGCUCCUUCCUCUGCUCUUGCCCCGCUCCCGGGUACCUUUGCUCUCCCGUGGCAGCAGUGCCCCGGUUCUCCUCGCUCCACCACCCGCUACGAUUCCUCUCGCCGUUACCACUGCAGCUAUUUCUUCAAGCUGCCACCGCAGCGGUGAGCCCCGGGACCUAUCGCAGCAUCGCAAGCCAUGGCCCCACAAAACCCGAGGGGAACCACGGCACCUUACUCAUUGGCACCGGGGCGGUGGUAGCUCAUCGCCUCCUUCCCGCUGGGCAGCGGUUUGGGGAGAGGAGGAAGAGAUGGCUGUGCUCAUUUUGGGUGUCUGCUCUGGGGGAUGCUCGUCAC